ACAUAUUGCUCGUAAAGAGGGUCACAA
rnacentral:sRNA from 1 species